CGUAGCUCUCCAGGAACCAGGUUGGAGUGAAAACCAGCAGGAGGGUAGCUCUCCAGGAACAGGGUUGGAGAGCCCUACCCCAGAUUGAUACUGUCAUCUGUUUAAACUGAGUAAUGGUCAUGAGUUGUGUCACAUAGAACCCUGCAGGCAAAUUUACCUUUCUAGGAACUCUGUGAAAUUACUGAGUUCGUUUGCAUGCGAUAUCAUCUGGGGCGUAUUCAUUACGCUGAUUCUGUUGCAAAACGUUUCCUAAACGGAAGCAAACGGAACGAAACUGGGAGGGACCUACCUGAAUUUGUCCAAUAGAAACUCUCAUUUGGACUAAUGAUUUCACCCCUGUAGUGGCCAUUACUUAAUUUCUAAUGACUUGUCUCUUGGUUCUCAGUAUCACCUGAGAUGACAGGAUACAACAGAAAACUCUUAGGGGCCAGCCUGUACUCUCCCCUGUCAUGGACUCUAAAUACAAACAGUAUAGUCAGUCACUCUCAAGGAGACUUUUGCCUUCACACUCUCCAGCAGUAAAUACUGUAUUCUUUUCAUUUCAGCUCUAUACAAAUUCUCCCUUCAGAAAGCAGAUCAACCGUGGAUUGUUUUAGUUUUAGUUAUCUAUCUGGGUCUGUAGAGAUCGCUAUGGCACCCUAUUCCCUAUAUAGUGUACUACUUUUGACAAGGGCCCAUAGGGGAUAGGGUGGUAUUUGGGACACAAGCUAUGUGUCCUCAAGACACUUGUUUCUGUCUCUUUUGAGUUGUGUCCCGUCCACCCCCACUCUGACCCCACCACACAGUGGAAAUGGUUUUGGGUUCAGUAUGCGGUUGCUUAUUUUUGUACCUCAGAACACUGUGUCAGUAAUUGUGGUAAAACAAUUGUUAUCAUUAUUGUCUUUCUUUUUUUGGAGCAGAGAGCCAAUGACUUGUUUUUGAAUUGGGUAUAACAUGUAGCCUGGUCCAAGAUCUGUUUGUGCUUUCAUGUCAACUCCUUGUCCUGCUAAUGUUUGGUAUGACAAGGAGUUGACCUGUUAGCACAAACAGAUCUGGGGCCAGGUUAUAAAACAUGCAUAAGUCCUUUGUUUUCUCUGGCAUGCUUUAACUUAAAUAAUAAUGUGUACAUACUGUUUUAUAACUACUGUCUUAACAUGUUUUGAAGAUGAAGAAAGUUCUUAAUAAACCUGAGAUAUAUUUCUCUAUUU